AACGAACGCUGGCGGCAUGCCUAACACAUGCAAGUCGAACGAGACCUUCGGGUCUAGUGGCGCACGGGUGCGUAACGCGUGGGAACCGGCCCUUAGGUUCGGAAUAACUCCCCGAAAGGGGUGCUAAUACCGGAUAAUGUCUUCGGACCAAAGAUUUAUCGCCUUUGGAUGGGCCCGCGUUGGAUUAGCUAGUUGGUAGGGUAAAAGCCUACCAAGGCGACGAUCCAUAGCUGGUCUGAGAGGAUGAUCAGCCACACUGGGACUGAGACACGGCCCAGACUCCUACGGGAAGCAGCAGUGGGGAAUAUUGGACAAUGGGCGAAAGCCUGAUCCAGCAAUGCCGCGUGAGUGAUGAAGGCCUUAGGGUUGUAAAGCUCUUUUACCCGGGAUGAUAAUGACAGUACCGGGAGAAUAAGCGCCGGCUAACUCCGUG
rnacentral:rRNA from 1 species